rnacentral:lncRNA from 1 species
UAGAGUAACAAACCACAAUGCCUCUUUAAGCUAUCCCUUGCUACUUUUAGCUCCUUUUAAAGCUUCAAUUUGUACUUUGUAAUGGUGAUAAGUUUGCUCAUUUGGCUGGAAGGUCUUUCUUAUUUGUUUUGCUCCGUGGCUGUGUUGAUUUCUAUGAUUUAUUUACAAAUAUUUUUUCUUUACUAAACAAGCUAAUCGUUCUUAUUAUGUGGGACCGUGGAAUGAACAUUGUCUAUCACAUGACAGACAACUAAGGAAUUAAAUCUCUUAUGUAGUUAAUCAGUUGUUCUUCGAUUGAGAAAUCACUUUCUGGAGCUUGCUUUUAGUUCCUCAGUGAAAAAAAAGAUGGGUGUUUUGUUACUUUUAUUGUUAGUGCGUAAUCAGUGUUGGAUAGUUUUAAAUCGCAUUUAGACAUAACUGAUCUCUUGAACUGUUUUUCUGGAUUUCUACUGCAUUUUCCUUGGUGUUUAAAGUAUGUAGAUGCUACAGAUUUUGGGAAAAGGGCGGUGGUUCAUAUUACCUUAAAUGAAUGUGAUAGACUUUGACCAGUUUGAUUGUUCAUUUAGACCUUGCUACAUUCCUCAACUCCACGAAUCUGAAGGGUUGUUACAGUAG